GGUGGCGACAAGUCGCGUUUGGCCCCAGGGGCUGUGGGGUCACCUUUUCUUCCUCCCUCCUGCUACCCCAAGUCGUCUGAGGUGUGUGUUACGCAGUGGGAGAGCACGUUGGCCUGGAUCUCGAGCUACUCACGUUCUGGCCCUGCCUCUGUCAUUUCCUAGAGCUGUGGCUUCGGGUGCUUUGGGGCAAAUCUGGAGAACUGAGACUGACUCUGAGAACCUUCCUUUGAAGCCAGCCACUCGUUGGGCCAGACUUGGUGCCUGACCAUAGACCUAUGGUGGACUGGGAGGUCCGUUCCCUUAAAAUCAGCGGAGUUGGGAAACGUGCACGCCACACCGGGAGGAAUACAAAACGGACCGAUUACACACUCACGCCCAAGUCCGUGGUUCCGGACUUGUGUCUGCCGGGCCCUCUCUUCUUGGGCAUCCCAGUUUCUUCGUCCGUUUGGCCAGCGGUUCCCCUUGCCAUCUAUCUGUCACAUCCAACUGUGCUUCCAUCUGCCCUCCCAUCGCUCCAUCCUCCUCCUGCCAUCUGCCAGCUUUCCCACCCAUCCUUCAGACUGCUGGUAUUUCAUGCACCCCUCCUUGCCUCCCAGCAUGUGCGUCGGAACUCCAUCCGCUGGCCCAUGCGGCCGGCCGUCCCUCCAUCUUUCCGGAGUCCGCCCACCCGUCUCACCCGCCCCCUCUCUGGCUGCAGAGGGAACCCUCUCUUGGACCGGCCCUCUGUUGCACGACCCCCAGCGCCGGCUAAUCCAUACCCGGCCGCAGCUGUGCCCUCCCGCAGGCCGGCGCUGUCGUCAGUCU